UUUGUUACAUAUAAGAAACAUUAUAAUGUUACAUUUCACAUUUUCAUUUCAUUUAAUUGUGACAGAAAAAAUGUUAAACACCACAUACAUAUAAACUAUUUUUGAAAGCUAGACUGUUAAGCUAUAAGCUUUUCAUAGCUAAUCUAUUAAGCAAUUAACUUUUCACCAACAUAACUAAGUUCGUUAGAGUUAGAACAAAUGGAAGCUAGACUGUUAGAAUAUUAGCUUUUCAUACACAGCAAAGACGCUACAAUAACAUUAGGAUUUUUUCUUUCAUUGACCAUACCAUACCAUAUAUAAGAUGGUCCAGAAAUUGAUCCACCUUACAUAUUCGAACUUGUGGCAUUAAUUAGAUAUUGAAACAUGAUUGUGCUGUAUAGCACCACAUGAAGUAUGAAGUAGUGGAUCCUAAUGAGCACACUCUCCUUGAAGAUCAUCCAUUGAGAUCUCAAACGCACAAUGCGUAUGAAUCCUUAUAAAGCAAUCUUGGUACCUUUAAGUAACAAUAAGCUCCAAAGAAACAAACUAUCAAGCAGAUAGAGAGCAAUAGAAAAUAAUUCAAGAGCUACUCUGAUCCAAGACAAUAGAUUCCACAGCAGAUCGAAUCCAUUUACCAAACUGAAUUUACUCAAGAGCAUCAAUAAUUAACAGAUCAAACUAUUUUAUUAAUCCACGAGCAGCAAAGAAAUAACUAACCACAUUCACAUCACCUGAAAUUUAGAUUAACAGAGUUAAUGUAUUGAAACUAGAAGUAGCAAAAAUAAACAGAUUGAAACUCAUUCAUCAGACUUGUUAUAAGCCCAAUUUGCCCGGCUCAAUGAUUAAAUGAAUAAGACCAAAUAAUAAAAACCCAAAGCAGCCCAAACACCUAAACCCAAAGCCCAAAACAACAACCCACAUGACUAAACCCAAUAUUAACCCAAACCUAAACUAACCCUAAUAGCCCAAAUCGAAAAAAAAGGAGAACAAACCCUAGCCCCUAAAUUCGACAUCGCACCUAAGUUUUUUGACCUCUGCCACCACCUACCGCCACUCCUCUGUCAGCCACCUGCUCCACCGUCGUCAACUACCUUGCAAAGAUGAAGCAAACACACAACAAACAAUAGAAUAGAUUAAAAAUUUUUGUAAAAUGGCUAUAAAGAUCACAUUUCGAAUGUAGAAAAUGGGUUUUUUUUUGGAAAAAAAAGGAAAGGCAUUGUAUUAAACACGAAAAAAGGAAUCGAAAAAGGAAAAUCAGUUUCGAGAGGUGAUUUACGAUUUAUAUUCUGCUGAUUUUUAUUUUCCUCUUAAGAUUCUUUUCAAAAACAAAUAAAAGGAGAGGAGCAAGGGAACCUACUGGGUUUUCGACCAUCGGAGCCCAUCUCUUCGGCGUAGAUAUAAGGUCAAGGGAUGCCUCUCGUUGUCGAUUGUUCCCGAGCCAUAGACCACGAUGGGUGGAGGCGUAUGGGACGCUGAUGAGGCCUUUGAGUCGGCCAAGCAGAGAGAGGAAUGGAAGAACUUUAAAGUUUUUUUUUAAAAUUAGGGUUUCAAAUGAGGGUUUAGAAAAAUUUUGGGUUCUUAUGGUAACCACGAAACACCAUUUCAUCCAGUCCCAAAAUGCUUCAAAACGGCACCGUAUUGGAGCCAAACCCGAUGACCCGACCCGCAUGCAGCAGGAUCCACG
rnacentral:lncRNA from 1 species